rnacentral:rRNA from 1 species
UACGGGGGGGGCAAGCGUUGUUCGGAAUUACUGGGCGUAAAGGGCUCGUAGGUGGCCAACUAAGUCGGACGUGAAAUCCCUCAGCUUAACUGGGGAACUGCGUCCGAUACUGGAUGGCUCGAGUUUGGGAGAGGGAUGCGGAAUUCCAGGUGUAGCGGUGAAAUGCGUAGAUAUCUGGAGGAACACCGGUGGCGAAGGCGGCAUCCUGGACCAACACUGACACUGAGGAGCGAAAGCCAGGGGAGCGAACAGG